UCCCGCCUAGCUCAGUUGGUAGAGCGCGUCACUAGUAUUAUCACCUGAUACAAAAAUGCACAUGACGAGGUCAGUCGUUCGAGUCGGCUGGUGGGAA
rnacentral:tRNA from 1 species